GAGUUUGAUCAUGGCUCAGGAUGAACGCUGGCGGCGUGCCUAAUACAUGCAAGUCGAGCGAACGGACGAGAAGCUUGCUUCUCUGAUGUUAGCGGCGGACGGGUGAGGUAACACGUGGAUAACCUACCUAUAAGACCGGGAUAACGUUCGGGAAACCGGAGCUAAAUACCGGAUAAUAUUUUGAACCGCAUGGUUCAAAAGUGAAAGACGGUCUUGCUGUCACUUAUAGAUGGAUCCGCGCUGCAUUAGCUAGUUGGUAAGGUAACGGCUUACCAAGGCAACGAUGCAUAGCCGACCUGAGAGGGUGAUCGGCACACUGGAACUGAGACACGGUCCAGACUCCUACGGGAGGCAGCAGUAGGGAAUCUUCCGCAAUGGGCGAAAGCCUGACGGAGCAACGCCGCGUGAGUGAUGAAGGUCUUCGGAUCGUAAAACUCUGUUAUUAGGGAGAACAUAUGUGUAAGUACUGUGCACAUCUUGACGGUACCUAAUCAGAAAGCCACGGCUAACGUACGU
rnacentral:rRNA from 1 species